rnacentral:rRNA from 1 species
GACGAACGCUGGCGGCGUGCCUAAUACAUGCAAGUAGAACGCUGAAGGAGGAGCUUGCUUCUCUGGAUGAGUUGCGAACGGGUGAGUAACGCGUAGGUAACCUGCCUGGUAGCGGGGGAUAACUAUUGGAAACGAUAGCUAAUACCGCAUAAGAGUAGAUGUUGCAUGACAUUUGCUGAAAAGGUGCAAUUGCAUCACUACGAGAUGGAGCUGCGUUGUAUUAGCUAGUUGGUGAGGUAACGGCUCACCAAGGCAACGAUACAUAGCCGACCUGAGAGGGUGAUCGGCCACACUGGGACUGAGACACGGCCCAGACUCCUACGGGAGGCAGCAGUAGGGAAUCUUCGGCAAUGGACGGAAGUCUGACCGAGCAACGCCGCGUGAGUGAAGAAGGUUUUCGGAUCGUAAAGCUCUGUUGUAAGAGAAGAACGAGUGUGAGAGUGGAAAGUUCACACUGUGACGGUAUCUUACCAGAAAGGGACGGCUAACUACGUG